rnacentral:rRNA from 1 species
CCUACGGGUGGCAGCAGUAGGGAAUAUUGCUCAAUGGGGGAAACCCUGAAGCAGCAACGCCGCGUGGAGGAUGAAGGUUUUCGGAUUUUAAACUCCUUUUGUGAGGGAGGAUAAUGACGGUAUCUAACGAAUAAGCACCGGCUAACUCCGUGCCAGCAGCCGCGGUAAUACGGAGGGUGCAAGCGUUACUCGGAAUCACUGGGCGUAAAGAGCGCGUAGGCGGGAUAGCAAGUCAGAUGUGAAAUCCAAUGGCUUAACCAUAGAACUGCAUUUGAAACUGUUGAGCUAGAGUGUGGGAGAGGUAGGGGGAAUUCUUGGUGUAGGGGUAAAAUGCGUAGAGAUCAAGAGGAACACUGAUUGCGAAGGCGACUUGCUAGAACAUAACUGACGCUGAGGCGCGAAAGCGUGGGGAGCAAACAGGAUUAGAUACCCGAGUAGUC